rnacentral:rRNA from 1 species
UACGAAGGGGGCUAGCGUUGCUCGGAAUCACUGGGCGUAAAGCGCACGUAGGCGGCUUUUUAAGUCAGGGGUGAAAUCCUGGAGCUCAACUCCAGAACUGCCUUUGAUACUGAGAAGCUUGAGUCCGGGAGAGGUGAGUGGAACUGCGAGUGUGGAGGUGAAAUUCGUAGAUAUUCGCAAGAACACCAGUGGCGAAGGCGGCUCACUGGCCCGGUACUGACGCUGAGGUGCGAAAGCGUGGGGAGCAAACAGG